AUAUAAACAGUGUCCAGCUGUAACCUGUGAAGAGGAUAUAUUAUAAAAACAUGAGAUGCUCCUGCCAUUCUGAGAGCAUUCAUGUAUCAAACCCAACCUGCCUUAGGGUAUGCACCACAGGGGUGUUGAGAACCAGAGCAGGAUUUGCACAUCGGCCCGCUUGCUUAGCUGGUCCAUCAGGAAUACGAAGUUAAGUGCCUUUCCAUAUAGACAGUUAAUCCUUAGAGCACCCGGCUGAAUGGCUGAGUUCCACUGUGUUUGGUUUGAGUUUUUAUUUUUGGAACACAAAUAAGGUCGGAAAUUCUGAGACAUUUUUUAAACAGUUCUGAGCCUGUGACACAUUACCCUUAUCCCACCAAAUGAUAACUUGCAUCAGAAAUAUUGAGAUGUGGCCAGAGAAAGGAGAUUCCCAAAGAGAAGAAUAACUUAGACAAAGGAUAGGCUGCCAAUAGAGAGAGGAAAGGGAGGGGCUUAGACCUCUGGUGUCAUCAUGAAAAGUAGGAAGAAGAGCCAAACGGAGAUGAAGGUAUCAGUGCUACUCAUGGCUGCCCAGCGGUUCCUAAAGAACAGUCCGGAGAUGUCAGUCUAGGAGUGCUCCAUGCACUGAAAGGAAGCUAAGGAUGAAAUCCUGAGAAUUGUAGCUUUUAAAAGGAUCCUCAUGAAGACUGACAAGGAGCACAGAGUUGCAGGAAGUUAGGGUGUCAGAAAAUCCAAAGGUAUUUGGGAGCAGCAUUUAGAAAAAGAAGGAGUGUCCGCCUGCCUCAAAUGCUGCCAAGAAAUCAGUGAAAGUGUGAGCAGCAAUCACAAACACAUCAAUGGGAUUUUACAACAAAAGAAGUCUUAAAAAACAUUCACAAAACUUGCUGUUCUCCCAUCCCAGACUGCCUAGAGUCUAAUCACAUAGGACCAUCUAUAUUUUUGUUGUCCCAGUGUACCUUCACAUCCGGCUCCCAUUGCGUAUAAAAAUAUUACAUGGAAAGA